UCUCGAAGCAACCCCACCCCGCUCACCGGUGAUCCAAAUGGCCUCCGCCACCGCCACCGCCUCCGCCGCCGCCGCCGUGCCGGGACUCUCCUUCCGCCGCGCCGUCGUCGGACUCCGCCGCCCGGCGGCGGCGCCGCCGCCCCUUCGGAAUUGGCGUCUCCGCGCCUCGUUCCCCUCCUCCUCCUUCUUCGCGACGCUGAAGCGAAGCCCUAAGCGGUUGAAGUACUCGUCUCAGCGCCUCUUCAAGAAGGGAGAGGGGAUGGUAUACGUGAAGGUGGACCCUUCGGGAGAGGAUACGUGGAAGCUGGAGCCUAUCAUCGAUCUCAUUAAGGAAGGAGCAGUUGGGGUAAUCCCCACGGAUACUGUCUACUCAAUUGUUUGUGAUCUGAAAAUUCCCUCUUCCAUUGAGCGCCUUCGCAGAAUCAAAGGCAUAGGAGACUCAAAGCCACUUAGUAUUCUGUGCCACUCUUUGAAAGACAUAGACACCUACACAACAGGAUUUCCUCGUGGUAAUAACCAAGGUCAAACAAAUAUAUUUCGAGCUGUUAAACAUUGUUUGCCUGGGCCGUACACUUUUAUUUUACCUGCGAGUAAACAACUGCCAAAACAAUGCAUAAGAAAUGGAGCCACUACUAAAUAUGCACAAAGGAAGCAUGUUGGUGUUCGUAUACCAGAUGAUGUCAUAUGCCAAGCUAUAUUGCAGAGGUUGGAUGCGCCUUUGAUAUGCACAAGUGUGAAGUGGCCUUCUGAAGAUCAGUGGAUACUUGAUCCUGCUAUUAUUGCAGAUGUUUACGAGAAAGAGGGUCUUGAUUUUGUAGUUGAUGGUGGUCUCAGAGUGGCUGACCCAUCCACUGUUGUUGAUAUGACUGGAAGCUAUCCUAGGAUAAUUCGACAAGGAAAGGGCCCAAAGUUAGACUGGAUGGUAGCGGAAGGCGAAGAUCAUGGUCCACAACCAGAGCUGGCUGUUCUUCAAGCGGCUUGAAGACUCACACAGCAAAGGCUCAGAAAACCCUUCCCUUUUAAGAGUCCUUCCAGCUAAAAGAGAAAGGUAUCCUGCGUGCCUACCGACCGAGGUUACUCUACGGCCACAGAAAUGGGAACCCAGUGGGCAUCUUUCUUUUCGGAAGAUCCUCUACAUGGCAGUGAUGUGUUGACGACAACUUAGCAAAAUCGACAAAAACUUCAACUGAAUGGCGAUUUGCAUCAAAAAGACUGUUUAUGUUGUUUUCUCCUGCUAACUUUUUAGAGUUAGCUGAUAGAUAAGGACACUAAUGUUCAAAGAGGUGUAAGAUAUAAACUGGCGCUAAAAUAUUAAUUAUUACUUGUAUAGAAAUAAUAUUUAGUGUCCACUUUUUUUCGUUA